AUGGGCUGGCACAUGGGCGUGUGG
rnacentral:miRNA from 1 species